CAAUAGCGUAUAUUUAAGUUGCUGCAGUUAAAAAGCUCGUAGUUGGAUUUCGGGUGGGAAUGGCCGGUCCGCCGUUUCGGUGUGCACUUGCUACGCCCACCUUGCUGCCGGGGACGUGCUCUUGAGUUCACGCUCGGGACACGGAGUCGGCGAGGUUACUUUGAGUAAAUUAGAGUGUUCAAAGCAGGCCUACGCUCUGAAUACAUUAGCAUGGAAUAACACGAUAGGACUCUGGUCUAUCUUGUUGGUCUGUAGGACCGGAGUAAUGAUUAAGAGGGACAGCCGGGGGCAUUCGUAUUUCAUUGUCAGAGGUGAAAUUCUUGGAUUUAUGAAAGACGAACUACUGCGAAAGCAUUUGCCAAGGAUGUUUUCAUUAA
rnacentral:rRNA from 1 species